CGGGCUCGAGCCAAAGUUCGGUCGUCGUGUAGCGAUUGAACCUUUCCGAACAUCGAUACGAUACCAGUCCUUGCAUUCUCGUCAAACCUUCGAAUGCUAUCUCCCGAAGACCGUUGCGAGCUCAGUCCAUGUUUCCCGCUAUUCUAAUUCAUCGAUCAAACUUCGCGGAUUAGAAACCGCGGAAAACUCGUAGUAAACGUGUCGAGUCGGAAGACGGCCCAAAGGGACCUAAAACACGACUCAAGGCCCAUCCUACGAUUUUUCCUAACCAAAAGCCCGUGAACCACAGCAUGGUUCACGCUUGGCCCACGAAGAAGGAUAAAUGUCAAGUUUCCGCGGAUAAAUACGGAAGUUUCGAAGAUAAUUGUGAAGAUCGGGAAAAAUGGAAUAUCUCCAUUUUUAUGCUAUGACGGCUUAAGGGCAGAAGAGUAAAAGCGUAAACCGACCUUGGAGCUAGUAUAUAAGGAGUCCUAGGCGAGGAGCAAAGGGGAGAACCUUUUCAGAGCAAACUUAGCACUUAGAGCAAUUUAGGCAAUUUUCCGUUUUUGUUAUUUCGAGCUGCGACUCAAUUAGGUUUAGCCGUCUUAGGGUUGCUAGAACUAGGAAUCUCGCCGACAGCUCUCGAGCCCAGGCUUAUACCUUGUUGUAAUGCUCAUACGCAGAUUCGGAAUAAGAUCUACUUUGCUCUCUUUUCGAUUUCUUAUUUUUAUCGUUGUUAUUCUCGUGUUCUGAUUGCUUGACGUGUGGUAAUUAACAGAUAUCCGGGUCCUCUGGGAAAUUAGGGUUUUUCUAGUUUCCUUAUUUAAACGGAAAUCGACAGUGUGAAUUUCGGUUCCCACAGUUUGGCGCUAGAAGGAGGGGGACUUACGGAUCAAUCUAACCCGCAAAAGCCACACACAAUCUGACAUGUCAACCAACGACGCGGAUAACAUGCAAACUCCUCUUAAUGGAGGCAGCGGCACCGAUCUCCACACUCCAGUAGCAGACGUAUCCGCGGCCAACGCGCAAGCCAACGCCGCGACGCUCGAGGAGUUCAAAAAGAUGUUCGCCACCUAUGAGAAAAGGUCGGAAGAACAGGAUAAGCUCGUGAAUACCUUGACCAAACAGGUUGAAACCUUAACGGCAAGGACCCAAGCUAUCCGUCCCCGCGGAACCACCAAAAUCCGCGGGAAAAGGCUCGACUUUGCCACCCCACUCGAUAGAACAGGACUCGCGCGGGAACGACCUUCCGGUCAAAACCCUAGCGAGAAAUCUCCCGUCGAAAAGGGGAACCCUGAAAAUCUUCCGCCCCCUGCAAAGGACUCGGAGGAUAACGAAGCCGAACACAUUGACCUGGAUCCUAGCGAUGUCUCCAACGACACCGACGAGGAUGUCGACAGACAUCCAAGAAGGACCAGAAGCCGAUCCGCUCGGGAAGGCUCCCCGUUCGAAAAACCAAUGACGGAAGAAGAAGAAGUCGCCUAUUGGAACGAACAAGAGGAGCUGGCCGAAAGGCAAACCGAGCUCACUCGCAGUAAACGCCGACAGGUUCGGAAAUCCACUGACGAGACAUCGGAUAUCCGCGAUCUUCGCGACUACAUCACUAAGACUGCGGCAGAAGUGAGAGCCGUAAAGUCUCAAAUCCAUCAUGCUACUAGUGCUGCCCCCGAGAUCGAUCGACUGCUGGAAGGAGCUCGAAAGACCCCCUUUACCAGUCGCAUUUCGGACAUGAGGGUGUCCGAUCCGGGAAAGAUCAAAGUACCGAAGUACGAUGGUACGGCCGAUCCAAAAGCGCACCUUCAGGCUUUCCACAUCGCGAUGGGAAGAGCAAGACUGAAGGACGGCGAAAAAGAUGCCGGCUAUUGCCGCCUGUUCGUCGAAAAUCUCGAAGGAGCAGCGCUCGAAUGGUUCGCACGCCUUCGUCGCAACACCAUCGGGAGUUUUCGACAGCUCGCAUCGGAAUUCCUCAAACAGUACUCUGUAUUCAUAGACAGGGAAACCUCCGAUGUUGACCUCUGGAGUCUCUCCCAGAGGGAAGACGAACCCCUCCGCGAAUUUAUCAGUCGGUUCAAGCUGAUAAUGUCCAGGGUCAGCGGGAUAAGCGACAAAGUGGCCAUCGACGCGCUGAGAAAGACGCUCUGGUACAAGUCGAAAUUCAGAAAAUGGAUAACUCUCGACAAACCGCGAACGAUCCAGGACGCCCUCCACAAAGCAACGGACUACAUCAUAGUCGAGGAAGAAACUAAAGUCUUAUCGCAAAAACAUAAGCCGGCAAGACCAUCCUCGAAAGACGCAGAUCCGAAGGGGAAAAAGAAGAACUCUCGUAACGACAAGUACGUCCAUCACGAGGGGGAAGAUCUCCAAGGGGCGCAUAACUAUGCGAUCAGUUCGGAUCAAGGCCGGACCACGGGCAACACAUGGACUCGCAAUCAAGGGUAUGACGAAAACACCUUCUGCGAGUUCCACCAAUCCCGAGGACACUCCACGACCAAUUGCAAAGUCUUGGGAGCAAGACUGGCCGCGAAGCUACUCGCUGGAGAGCUUUCGGAAGUAACUAGCGUCAAGGAUCUCAUCCUCGAUUCUGAUCGGCCUCCAAAGACGGAUAGAAAUCCGCCCGCUGAAAAAUCCCCUCAACGAAACCAUCCUGGGGAUAAACGCGGUAGGAGGCCGGAUGACAAAGGGAACGAUAACAAUCGUCGCAGAGUCAAUAUGAUCAUCGGAGGAUCACAAUACUGCGGCGAUACCGUGUCGGCCAUCAAGGCUUACCAACGGAAGGCAGAGUCAAGUGCAAAUUGGCCUACAUGGUCUCCUCCUCGAGACGGCCAAAGUUGCUCGAUCACCUUCACGGAGGAAGAACCCGGCGGUAUCGACCAACCUCACUGCGACCCGCUCGUCAUAGAUCUUGUCAUACGAGAUUUAGAAGUCGGAAGGGUACUCGUCGACACGGGAAGCACGGUCAACGUAAUCUUCCGCGACACUCCAAGCGGAUGAGUAUCGAACUCGGAGAAGUAAUCCCGACGCCAAAACCGUUCACGGGUUUUUCAGGCGAAGUGUCGAUGACUCUCGGAUCAAUCCAAUUGCCAGUCAUGGCCAAAGAGAUCACAAAAAUCGUCGAAUUCGCGGUAGUCGAUCAUCCCGCUAUCUACAACGUAAUCAUGGGAACCCCAUGGCUCAACGCCAUGCAGGCAGUUCCAUCAACCUACCACCUGGGUCUUAAGUUCCCAACGCCGAGCGGAGUCGCGGCCAUCUGGAGAUGCCAAAAACAGUCGCGACUAUGCUUCCUCGCGGAGCAUAAGUUAAGGCAAAUCACGGCUUCCACAAACGGCAAACGCGCGAAGAUAGAUCGAUCUUCAGCCAAAAGCCCCCGGGAGAAGACGAAGUAAAAUCGUCUAUCAACGCAAACGCAUCGGACGUCGAGGCUCGACAUAAAUCCGAAGCCCACGCAACAACUCAACCGGAACAUCCGGAAAAUAGCGUCGACCCAGCCACGAUCGACACGGUCAAGGCGGACAUCGCGACAUCUACCGCCGAGUAAGAACACUCGCGGCAUGAAACAGAACUACGAGAUGGCUUGAUCCUCGAAAGGGGUACGUAGGCAGCUCGUCAAAAGACGAGUUCAGCUAUCCCCCUCUCUAAAAGGGGGGGGGGAGUGGGUGCGUAUACUCGUAUACUCCCACUUAGAAAAAUCUUCAUUAUUGUAAUCGAGUUUUUAGAAACUUCAAAAACUUUACUACAAUAUACGUUGUCCUUUCUUAUCGAAAACGUUUACGCUUCAGUAAAACACAAAAGAAACUUUCAGGACACGCCUGAAAACGUUAAGACUCUUGUCUGCGGCCCCUUCCGGCCCAAAAAUCGUAAAGAUUAUCAUCUUUCAAACACGCAAAAAUACACGCAUAAUCCUCGAAAUAACUGCGAGACGUCGCAAAAGUUAAAAUUCGAGGACAAUGCUAACAAAUUGUCCGAACGCGACCACCAAAAACCUUACACCCCGUUCGUCGAUUGGCCCCGACGAACACGCCAGCCGUCUUAAACAAACGCAAUCCGAUCACUCUUUUGAUCUUUAAAAACGUCCAGCACAAGGACAAAAGCGCGCUACAACAAAAAUCCGAAAUUUUGGUUUAGCACUUCCAGUUGAUUCUGAGAAGAUGCUCGAUUCGUACCAUACAAGUCAUAUAAGCCGAGAACAUAUCGCGGACUUUAAAUCGGUGCGAUCAGGAAGAAAUCGCAACAGGAAAAACGAUAGCCGGCUAGUCACCGCACAAACCUUAACCGAAAGUAAACCUAGGUCUUGCCCUAAACCCAACGCUCUGGUCCAAACAUCUCAAGGCAUGAUAUCUAAAAGAUACGAGAUCAUAAACCAUGUCUCUCCGUUCGUAUCUCAAUGUUCUCGAAAAUCGUAAAGAUAAGUAAAUUUUUACGAAAAUCACGAACGAACCAACAGAUUGAACGUCUAAUCAGAACUACAUACGAGACGACAACUCGUAUUUACUUCAACCCUACUCAGGAAAACUCGAAACAAAACAUUUAUAUAUAAAUAAACCGCGUAAAGCGGCAAGGGAUUCAAAGCCACCAACGGCCAGUCCCGGAAAUAAAAUACGGCCAUCUAGGCCUAAACGAAAUCCAAAUUCAAAGGGCCACACUCGGCCGAAAACAAGGAUAACUGAUCCAUCCCUCAUGAUCCAAAGUCAAAGUCCCCGGACAACGAAGCACCAAACGCAUCCGCGGGACGAUCCACUUCCUCGCCACCAUCGGGAAAACCGGUCGGAACCUCCUCGGUAUCAGGGGAAACCGGGAUGGAAUCCCAGAACCCUUGAAUCCUCUCGUCAAUCGGAGGGAUAAGCGCCUCAGCGUGGGCACGGUCACUCAUCCCACUCUUCAUCAAGCUCAUUUCCUCUUCAAACACAUAGUCAUCGGCUCGCGUCCUCCAAAGACUUCCGACCGAACCACGGCACUCGCGAAAGUCACCCACCGAGGUAAAGGCAUUCUUGAGGUUCCCGUACUCAACCUGGAACUGAGAUGCACGAGUCUUCAUCACCUCGACGAUUUCUCUUUUGCCUUUCCUCUCCGCUUUACGAACAGCCCGCGCAUGAUCACGAGUAAGCUGCGCCUCUCGCUCCAGCAUCUCGCCUUGCACGCGAGCAAGAUCCCGCUCCGCUUUCUCCGCCUUGAAGCGGUAGACCAUGGCUUCUCUAUGGCCCGCCUCAAUGGCCGAGCCCAGCAAGCUCAGGCCCUGCAAAAUCGAUUGGCAUGUUAUAAAUAUAUACAUAGGACAAUCACCAAAAAAUUCUCAAAAAAAAACUAACCCCAUUGAUGAUGCGAGAUCCUUCCGCAACGACUCUCGGCCUCGCCGAUUCUUUCGUAGGAGGAGGAGCAUCGAAACCCGAUGGCAGCCCAGCAAAGAAAUCAUCGAAAUCCGGAAUAGGGGCCUCGCUCGAACCGCUCCCGUCGCCGUAAGCAAGGUUCGGAUCCCAUCCUGGAAGCAUAGAGUCAUCCAUCGAAAACUCUAUGUCGCCAAGAUCGACAUCUUUUCCCUUCCAAGAGCUCGACUCCGGCGCAGCUGUCGGAGCUUCGACGGGAUUCUGGUCGUCGGGUUCGGAGUCGCUUCCCGUGUCCGCAUCCAAAGCAGGACCGGGUUGCACGAAUCUCAGUGCCUUCCGAACCCUCUUCGGCGUAAAAGAAGUCCAGAAGAAGGGACCAUUCCUGAGAAGAUCCCUCACCGAAAUGAUGUCCUCGGGGAACGGAGCAAAAGGGUUGAUGAAGGGACGAUCAUUCGGCAACCUCCGGAACAAUGGAAUGCAACUCUCUUCGACGGAUGCAGCGUCUAUACGGACAAAGAAAAAGAACUUCUUCCACGAGUUGAAGUUCGAAAUAAACUUCUUAACCACUGACAUAAAUUUCCGAGGGACCAACCUAUGCUUAUCCGUACCCCUGACAAGUUGAAGCCUCAAAAGCGCUUCAUAAUGAUCGACGGAAAGGGAAAGGCCAUGCUCGUAGCUUAGGAUCAGGAUCCCAAUAAGGUGCUGAAUGGCAAGGGGUGUCAACUGACUUAUCGCAACUUCGAAACGGUCCAACACUCGGACGAGAAUUUGGGUAUGGGGAACCAGAGGCGACAACGCACUACGAACGCCUCAUAACAAGUAAAGUAACCCUCCGGGGGGUUGUUAGCACAUUCCCCGCGGCAGGGAACCCGGAACUCCACAGCAUCCGGGAUGUGGUAGAACGAUCGCAUCGUCGCGAGAAACUCGUCAGUAGUCCUGCUUGCAUCCUCUUCCUCGACUCCACGAUGGACCAGGACCGGGAACGGCUUCUCCUUGGGAGGGGUCAACGAGCCAUAAUGAGCAACCCACCAUGCCUCGUUCUCGGCAGGAUGCACCGAGUGAGGCACGAACUCCAUCUUCGGAACGACGAGCUCUUCAUAAGGACUCGCGGACGAAGACCCUUUUUCGCAAUCUUUUUCUUGCUCGACAUCUUUACACUUCUCUUGAGAGAAUAGAGGAAAAGGGUGGAGAGAAAGAUAGAAAGUUUUUUUGAAAGAUCUUAGAGAAAAACAAGAAAGUGAAAAAAUUAUGGAACAAGUUACCUCUCUUCUUAUAAGACAUGAGGAUUUACUAUUCAAGCUCGGACUUUCGGAUAUUAAUUCCAUCCAUCACGCCUAACUUGCCAAACAUGCCUAACCGCACGCUAGGAUCCUACGAUGCAUGAUCCUAACGGGCUGGGGGGCUAACUGUUGGGGUCAAAAACGGUUACGACGGAAUUACCACCCGAAUAUCCUCGGAGAUCGUAUUUCCGAAAGAGUUAGUAAAAGAAGAGAUGUAAUUUUCGUAAAAAUAACCUAUACGAAGUUUUUACGAAGAAGUAUCCUUUGGGAUUCAAACCAAGCAAACCAAGCUCGGUCGCUACGUAUACACGCCGUCCGGUCGCUACGUAGCAACCAAACCCGAGCCAAGCUCGGUCGCUACGCAGUGACCGAGCGAUCGUCCCGCUCGGUCGCUACGUAGCGACCGAGCUCGAGCCAAAGCUCGGUUGCUACGUAGCGACCGAGCGAUCGUCCCGCUCGGUCGCUACGUCGCGACCGAGCGAUCGUCCCGCUCGGUCGCUACGUAGCGACCGAGCUCGAGCCAAAGCUCGGUCGCUACGUAGCGACCGAGCGAUCGUCCCGCUCGGUCGCUACGUAGCGACCGAGCUCAAGCCAAAGCUCGGUCGCUACGUAGCGACCGGGCUCGAGCCAAAGUUCGGUCGUCGUGUAGCGAUUGAACCUUUCCGAACAUCGAUACGAUACUAGUCCUUGCAUUCUCGUCAAACCUUCGAAUGCUAUCUCCCGAAGACCGUAGCGAGCUCAGUCCAUGUUUCCCGCUAUUCUAAUUCAUCGAUCAAACUUCGCGGAUUAGAAACCGCGGAAAACUCGUAGUAAACGUGUCGAGUCGGAAGACGGCCCAAAGGGACCUAAAACACGACUCGAGGCCCAUCCUACGAUUUUU
rnacentral:lncRNA from 1 species